rnacentral:rRNA from 1 species
AUGCUGGUCAAUGCUUUAACCCCACAACCCCUCCUAUUUUGUUCUUAUUGCAAAUUCAGCCGGCUUUCAUGUGUGUGUGUGUGGGGCGGGGGGUGCAAAAAGGAAAAAAUCACUCUUCAUAUUUACCUCUCCUUUUUCUCCACUUCUUUUGUUGAUCUUGGUGUUGGUUUCCUCAGUGGUGUGGGUUCCCCUCCUUUUCUCUCUCUACACAUUUACCUUUUAUCUAUUGGCGUCUCUCUUGGCUGGGUGUUGGAUACUGGGAUGAGAGAGAGAGAGAGAGAGAGAGAGAGAGAGAUUGUAUACAAGUAUCUAGCUUUGAAACAAUGGCAAAUCUUGAGUCUUAACUAUAAGCCGGAGGCCAUAUCCUAG